GUGCUGGCUUCAGCAGCACAUACACUAAAAUUGGAAUGAUACAGAAAUUAUCAUGGCCCCUGUACAGGGAUGACAUGCAAAUUCGUGAAGUUUUGUGUGUGUGU
rnacentral:snRNA from 1 species